rnacentral:rRNA from 1 species
AGCAGCAGCCACGGUAAUACGGAGGGUGCAAGCGUUAAUCGGAAUUACUGGGCGUAAAGCGCACGCAGGCGGUCUGACAAGUCAGAUGUGAAAUCCCCGGGCUUAACCUGGGAACUGCAUUUGAAACUGUCAGGCUGGAGUCUUGUAGAGGGGGGUAGAAUUCCAGGUGUAGCGGUGAAAUGCGUAGAGAUCUGGAGGAAUACCGGUGGCGAAGGCGGCCCCCUGGACAAAGACUGACGCUCAGGUGCGAAAGCGUGGGGAGCAAACAGGAUUAGAUACCCCUGUAGUCCCUGUCUCUUAUAA